GCUAGCAGCUAGCUCUCUGCAACUCUCACAUGGUCGCCCACUGAAGCUAAGCAGGGCUGCGCCCGGUCAGUACCUGGAUGGGAGACCACUUGGGAAAGCUAGGUUGCUGCCGGAA
rnacentral:rRNA from 1 species